rnacentral:rRNA from 1 species
UUGGAGGAAAGCAGGGGAUCGCAAGACCUUGCGCUUUUGGAGUGGCCGAUGCCUGAUUAGCUAGUUGGUGGGGUAAUGGCCUACCAAGGCGACGAUCAGUAGUUGGUCUGAGAGGACGACCAGCCACACUGGGACUGAGACACGGCCCAGACUCCUACGGGAGGCAGCAGUGGGGAAUUUUGGACAAUGGGCGAAAGCCUGAUCCAGCAAUGCCGCGUGAGUGAAGAAGGCCUUCGGGUUGUAAAGCUCUUUCAGUCGAGAAGAAAAGGUUGUGACUAAUAAUCACAACUCAUGACGGUAUCGACAGAAGAAGCACCGGCUAACUACGUGCCAGCAGCCGCGGUAAUACGUAGGGUGCGAGCGUUAAUCGGAAUUACUGGGCGUAAAGGGUGCGCAGGCGGCUUUGUAAGUCAGAUGUGA